rnacentral:lncRNA from 1 species
UUUCAUUCUGUUAUUAUAAUUGGAUCAAUAAAAGAAUGAAUCAACAAAUAUAUAACUAAAUAAAGAUGAUUCGUGUGAAGCAUUGUCCAAUUAUAAAAAUAGAUGGUGUGGCAAGAAGUAAUAUUAAUAUGUACUGGAAACUCUGAAGUCCAAAGAGAAAUAAAUGAAUGAACGCACUUGAGUUGAUUCAAGCACGCUUCCAUGGUCAUGAGCUCUGUGGUUGCAUCUGUGUGUUAGGAGCAUGCAGACCAAUAGUGAUAAUCUCGAGGUGAUUUAUGCAUUCUUCCAUGGCCACCAGCCUUAUGAUUGCAUCUGUGCGUCACAGCUUAGAGAUCAAUAAUGGAUGCAACAAGCUCUUUGAAUCAUUCUGUUGGGAUCAAGAUUGUUGUGUUCCCUCUGUUUGGAAAGAGACCAAGAAUGGAUACGCUCAGGUGAUUUAAGCAGUCUUCCAUGGCCACGAGCUCUGUGGUUGCCUCUGUAUAUUAAGAGCACAGAGAUUAAAAAUGGGUGCACUUGAGCCGAUUGAAACAUUCCUCCUUGCAUCUUUCUUCUGUGAUUGCAUCUAUUUGUUAGUAGCAUAGAGACCAAUAAUAGAUGGCUUGUGCUGAUGGAAGGAUUCCUCCCUGGUGACAUGCUGUGUCUGCCUCUUGAUUGGGAGCACGCAGACCUACAAUGAUGCACUUUUUAUGAUUUGAGAAUUCCUUCAUGGUCACGUGCUCUGUUUUUAUCAUGGUUGGGAGCCUGCAGAGCAAUAAGGGACAUGCCUUUGCUGAUUUGAGGAUUCCUCUGAGGUUGGGAGCUAAGUUUGCAUCAUGCUUAGAAAGGAGUGUGCAG